rnacentral:tRNA from 1 species
UGUCCUGUAGCUCAGUGGUUAGAGCACUCACCUCCCAAGCGAGAGAACCUGGUUUUGAUUCCCAGCAGGACAA